UCUGCGUCGCUCACGCUGGGAGCUGUAGACCGGAGCUGUUCCUAUUCGGCCAUCUUGGCUCCUCCGCCUCAGAGGUAUUAUCGCUUCAGUUCCAGAUCACCACACCAGGUGCAAGUUGAUAAAAGAAUUCUGGAAAUUGAAGGCCAAGGAAGAGUGACUCAAAAAUAAGAAGCAGGCUGAAAAAUGAGAUGAGGAGACCGAGGCUCGGAGAGGCUUAUGCAUUUGCCCAAGACUCUACAACUCCACAACUUAACAGGCAAUUGCAUCUAGCAUAUAAUGUGUUGGUUAUCCCCAGAACACAGAGCAGUGCAUCUCCACAGCGAGAAUUCCAGAACAGGGUAAUCAUCAAGAAUCAAAUGGCUUGGAUCUGGUCUCUUCUCUUUGAGGAAGCAAGCAGGCAUGGAGGUGAGUCAGGCCAUUGGAAGAUUUCCUGUGGCUGAUGAAGAAUCCAACUCCAGGUUGCUCUUCUUUGAAGAGGAUUCCAGAAAUGCUUAGGGGCUGCUUGUUUGGACUGUAGGAGCUUAGCUGAGCACCAAGCACCAGCAGGAAUCAGAGAAUGGUGGCUUCCAUCCUCUGCGCACAGCAGCAAGGAAGGCAUGUUGUGUGCUUCCAGCUCAAGCCGGCUCUGUGUUUUAGGCCAACCAACACAAUUCAUAUAACAUCCUUGCACAUUUCCACCAUUUCCCGCCUCACCAUGCCUCAGAGGACUACAGGCUCCCCAAGACGGGACAUGGUUGGGCAGGUACCGGAUAGAUGCUGUCACUGCUGAAAAAGAAAAAAAUAUCCAAAGUAUUCACGUUGUACCUGCUGAGUGCCAGUACUGCAUGCUCUGGGGAUUCCAUUCCUGCCCCUAUGGAAGAGGGGUCAACUUUUCCAAAACAUCAUCUUCUAGAGGAAGAAGCUGAAGCCCAGCAAGGAAAAGUAACAUAACGAAGAUCUCAGCAGAAUGACGGUUAUCUGAGCAUCUAUAUUCUGGGGUUGCAAAAAGAACAAGAACGUAGGGUUCAAUGGACCUGAGUUCCAGGCCUCACUCUGUCACCAGCUGACUGUAAGAAGCCCACCCACCUCCACCUUCUCUAGAUCACAUGUUUUAUGGCCGCCUCAAAGGCGUGAAGCAGGUGAGUCGUGCUGCCUCUGCCAACAUCUGCUUUGUGAGCCUGGGAGUAUUUCACGGAGAUGUUUCUCUCGACAGGUUUAUGGCUGGUCUUGGCUCAGUGCCUUGAAAACACUGAUCAUGUGAUGAAACGAGAAUGUCAUGCUGCGGGCCAUCAAUAAACCACACUGGCAUUCCCGCUCCCACCCCGACACCACUCCACCCAUGCAAUUUCCCUCCCCUUCAGCCUCCUCCCUCCCCACCUCCCAAAGAUAUCCAGACCAGGCCAACUCAUUAGGAAGUGACAUCCACCAGGAUUCUUGGCCCCAGUCAAAAGAGUGGCCAGAGCUUGUCUGCUGCUUGCGGAUACUUUUCUGUUUUGUGUUAAACGUUUGAGUUUGGAAAUGAGCAAGAGCUAUGUCUAAGGGAAACCAGACAGCUUGUUUGAAAAUCCACUAAAUGGCCAUCGGAGGAUCAUGCCAGAUCUUAGAACAAAGUCUCAGUUAUUGCCUGAAAGCAUAAACUUUCAGGCAAGGCAUCUUCUCCAUGCUCCUCAGCAUCUGCAGAGUAGCAGAGACUUGAAAGAGAUGUGUCCUCUGGAUCCCACGUCAGAUGAUACAUCUUGGGAUUUCCCUACCUGGGGGAAGAGUGGGUUUUCCUGAGGAAAUUGCAAGUGGGCCUGAGUUUCUAGAGUGUGAGGUGAAAUGGAUGCCACUGUACUGAAUUCUGACCAAAACUCUGGAGAGAUGCUGCGAAGGAACUCAGCUUCCACUGAAAGGGUCAGUGAAGGCUUCAAGGACAGUAUCACAGCACUUUCCUAUCACUUCUAUAAAAAUCACAUCCACUUUUUCCCACCAACUUGCCCAUUCUCCUUGUCUGGGACACAGGCCCUGGUACUUUACAUUCAGGUCAUUUCCAAGGGAUAGAGAGAAAUAGACAGAGGCUGAAAGAGUGAUGGGGCCGGGAGACGCUGAGAUCAUUCAACUACCAAUGCCAUUCUGAA
rnacentral:lncRNA from 1 species